UACAGGGGGGGCAAGCGUUGUUCGGAAUUACUGGGCGUAAAGGGCUCGUAGGCGGCCAACUAAGUCCGACGUGAAAUCCCCAAGCUUAACUUGGGAACUGCGUCGGAUACUGGAUGGCUUGAAUUCGGGAGAGGGAUGCAGAAUUCCAGGUGUAGCGGUGAAAUGCGUAGAUAUCUGGAGGAACACCGGUGGCGAAGGCGGCAUCCUGGACCAACACUGACGCUGAGGAGCGAAAGCCAGGGGAGCAAACGGG
rnacentral:rRNA from 1 species